rnacentral:lncRNA from 1 species
UUAUAUGUAAGCUUAAACACCUUUGAAUCUCUUAAGUACUUGCUGCUCAUUUCAGAAUCUGACCAUGUUUACUUUAGAAGUUAAAACCAUGUUGACAAUGUCUAUAGUCACUGUCUAAAAAGAAAGUUGAAGUCAUUAAUUGGAAUAAAAGUGUGAAUAGAGUUAUGAAACACCAACAUAUCUUCUUUCAUAAAAUUAAUCUGACUCAGUAUUUAUUUGGGAGGGUACUCAAAUUUAGAUUUAAACCAUCAUAGCAUAACCUGGUAUUUCUUACAUAAAGUAGGAGUUACAGAAAUUUUUUCUCAGUGUUCAACUUUAUGGAUGGCUUACAGAACAAUAGUUUUUAAGUGGGCAUUCUAUUUCCCAUUCUUGUCUCCUUAUGCCAUUGGGAUAACCUUUUAUUUUUUUCUUAAGUC